UAUAGAGUAGCACUCGCAUAUCAAUAAGCGGAGGAAAAGAAACUAACGAGGAUUCCCCUAGUAACGGCGAGUGAAGCGGGAAGAGCUCAAAUUUGAAAUCUUAAAGGGUUUCCCUUUACGAAUUGUAGUUUAAAGAAGUGUUUUCUGUUGAGGUUUUGGUAAAAGUUCUUUGGAAUAGGGACAUCAUAGAGGGUGAGAAUCCCGUAUUUGACCUUUACUUUCAACUUUGUGAUACACUUUCAAAGAGUCGGAUUGUUUGGGAAUGCAGUCCAAAAUGGGUGGUGAAUUUCAUCUAAAGCUAAAUAUUGGCGAGAGACCGAUAGCGAACAAGUACCGUGAGGGAAAGAUGAAAAGAACUUUGAAAAGAGAGUUAAACAGUACGUGAAAUUGUCAAAAGGGAAGCGUUUGACACCAGUGUUGUUUUUCUGAAAAUCAAUUAAAGAACUGUUUAUGCUAAGUUGUUUAGACUUUAUCAGCUAACUGUUUAGUUUUGAGCUUUUCUUUAAUGCACUUUUCAGUUAACAAGUCAACAUCAAUUUCUUUUGCUGUAAAAAAGCUUGAGGAAGGUGGCUUGAGAUUCGUCUUAAGUGUUUAUAGCCUCUUGCCUAUGCAGUCGGAGAGAUUGAGGUCUGCAGCGUAGAUCCUUCGGGGCUAAAUGCAUUUGUGCUAAGUUAUAACAUUUUAUAGACAACUUGUUGACUAUGAUUUGUCUUGUAGCUUACUCGCUUAUGUUAUUUUACCUACGCUUAGGAUGUUGAGCGCAUGUCUCUCUCU
rnacentral:rRNA from 1 species